rnacentral:rRNA from 1 species
AGAGUUUGAUCCUGGCUCAGGACGAACGCUGGCGGCGUGCCUAACACAUGCAAGUCGAACGGAGUUGAAAGGAGCUUGCUUUUUUCAACUCAGUGGCGGACGGGUGAGUAACGCGUGAGUAACCUGCCUUUCAGAGGGGGAUAACGUUCUGAAAAGAACGCUAAUACCGCAUAAGAUUGUAGCUUCGCAUGGAGCAGCAAUCAAAGGAGCAAUCCGCUGAAAGAUGGACUCGCGUCCGAUUAGAUAGUUGGCGGGGUAACGGCCCACCAAGUCGACGAUCGGUAGCCGGACUGAGAGGUUGAUCGGCCACAUUGGGACUGAGACACGGCCCAGACUCCUACGGGAGGCAGCAGUGAGGGAUAUUGGGCAAUGGGGGAAACCCUGACCCAGCAACGCCGCGUGAGGGAUGACGGUUUUCGGAUUGUAAACCUCUGUCCUCUGUGAAGAUAGUGACGGUAGCAGAGGAGGAAGCUCCGGCUAACUACGUGCCAGCAGCCGCGGUAAUACGUAGGGAGCAAGCGUUGUCCGGAUUUACUGGGUGUAAAGGGUGCGUAGGCGGAUUGGCAAGUCAGAAGUGAAAUCCAUGGGCUUAACCCAUGAACUGCUUUUGAAACUGUUAGUCUUGAGUGAAGUAGAGGUAGGCGGAAUUCCCGGUGUAGCGGUGAAAUGCGUAAAGAUCGGGAGGAACACCAGUGGCGAAGGCGGCCUACUGGGCUUUAACUGACGCUGAGGCACGAAAGUGUGGGUAGCAAACAGGAUUAGAUACCCUGGUAGUCCACACUGUAAACGAUGA